GAGAGUUUGAUUCUGGCUCAGGAUGAACGCUGGCGGCGUGCUUAACACAUGCAAGUUGAACGAAGCUUAUAGCACCUAUUCCUUCGGGGAGAAGUGUUAUAAGACUUAGUGGCGAACGGGUGAGUAACACGUGAGCAACCAACCCCUUACAGUGGAAUAACAACGGGAAACCGUUGCUAAUACCGCAUAAUAUCGCUAUAUGGCAUCAUAUGGAGAUCAAAGAUUUAUCGGUGAGGGACGGGCUCGCGUCCGAUUAGGUAGUAGGUAAGGUAACGGCUUACCUAGCCGACGAUCGGUAGCCGGACUGAGAGGUCGAUCGGCCACAUUGGGACUGAGACACGGCCCAGACUCCUACGGGAGGCAGCAGUGGGGAAUAUUGGGCAAUGGGGGCAACCCUGACCCAGCGACGCCGCGUGAAGGACGAAGGCAUUCGUGUUGUAAACUUCUUUGGAGAGGGACGAAAAUGACGUACCUCUCGCACAAGCCACGGCUAA
rnacentral:rRNA from 1 species